CCCUUAGAUGUCCUGUGCCGCACGCGCGUUACACUGAUGCAUUCAACGAGCUUAUAACCUUGGCCGAGAGGCCUGGGCAAUCUUGUUAACGUGCAUCGUGAUAGGGAUAGAUUAUUGAAAUUAUUAAUCUUGAACGAGGAAUUCCUAGUAAACGCAGAUCAUCAAUCUGCAUUGAUUACGUCCCUGCCCUUUGUACACACCGCCCGUCGCACCUACCGAUUGGAUGGUCCGGUGAAGCCUCGGGAUUGUGGUUCUUGCCGCUUUAUUGUGGCGUGACCGCGAGAACUUGUCUAAACCUUAUCAUCUAGAGGAAGGUGAAGUCGUAACA
rnacentral:rRNA from 1 species